rnacentral:rRNA from 1 species
AUUGAACGCUGGCGGCAGGCCUAACACAUGCAAGUCGAACGAGCGGCGGACGGGUGAGUAAUGUCUGGGAAACUGCCUGAUGGAGGGGGAUAACUACUGGAAACGGUAGCUAAUACCGCAUACCAUCGGAUGUGCCCAGAUGGGAUUAGCUAGUAGGUGAGGUAAUGGCUCACCUAGGCGACGAUCCCUAGCUGGUCUGAGAGGAUGAGCAGCCAAACUGGAAUUGAGAAAGGGCCCAGAUUCCUACGGAGGGCAGCAGGGGGAAUAUUGCACAAUGGGCGCAAGCCUGAUGCAGCCAUGCCGCGUGUAUGAAGAAGGCCCUAGGGUUGUAAAGUACUUUCAGUCGGGAGGCGUUACCGACAGAAGAAGCACCGGCUAACUCCGUGCCAGCAGCCGCGGUAAUUC